rnacentral:lncRNA from 1 species
CCUCCCCGCCAGUCCCUGGUUGGAGGAGGGGCGCGUCAGUCACUAGAGAGGUCGCCGCCUCUGGGACAGGCAAGAACAUCUCUUCAGGAACAACCAAAAUAAGUAUGCAAACCUGCCUGUUCCCUGCUACUCUCCACCCUUCGUUCAUGGGGGUGACUGAGGUUUUGGCCACCUGCCUUCCAGUCCUGUCCCAGUGUUCCAGGUUCCCAGCCAACCAAGCAUCUGGCACUUAAGCCAAAGGCCAGCAAUGUCCUGACUUCCCGAGUGAAUAUCUGUGAAGAGAGAAGACAUGAUGGGGUCAGGACUCAGGGACACUGUAAGGCAAAGAACAGAGCCACGGAGCGCUAGGUGAUCUUGUUCUGGGCCAGCUGGAUUCGCUCUGUCUCCCUCUAGCCCCCAGAAGUUUCCAUUACAAUUGAUGGGGACUUGUGG